CAAGGAUGAUUAAGGAAGAAAUAUCUUAAAAAGCCAAAAUCUGGGUAUGUGCAUUUCGGUCUCAUGUUAUUUGUGUUUUGAAAAUGAUUUUGGAAUACAAGGAACCGAUGGCCAUUGUAGGAAAUUGUGUCUUUCUUUUCUACCUAGAGUUGCGUAUUUCCAGGUUUUUCCGUCGUGUCUAGCUAUCAGGGAACAGCUCUACCUUCUCCCACAUGGCAUAGAAACAUGUUCUAACCUAUCAUUAUCAGAUAAUAACAGUUGAGUUGUUGUUUGUGUCUAAUCAAGCUCAAUUUUGAUAUCAUUGCAGUCCUUACGUUAUCUUCAGGGAAUGCUGAGUAUUCGAAACUUGCUCAAAGUAAAUAUGUUUUGGUGAUAAUGUUGGACACAUUUAGAGACAACAAACCAGAAUACCACUACACAGGCCUAGGAGAAUCGCAAGCUAGCACUACAAGCAAAAUAAUGUGAUGGUUCCCAUUACUUGUGUGCUGAUUGGCUUUCAAAGGGUCUAGUAAUUUAUUAUCUGUUCUUGGUACUGGGUUGCACAAGCAGGUGUAGAAAGAAAUAAAAAAUAUUGUUUGUA